AUAAAGUUAAUAUUCCUUCGGAAUAGAGCAACAAAGAAUGAGCGAGCGAGAUGUCACUAUCUGCAACCCUGUGUGAUAAAAAGAGAUGUGUGAUGCUAUCAUCGUCACGUCAAUAGAACCAUUUUUGCAAAAGAUUUGACAGGCAGUGACACAUAGAGGCACAAAGCAGAAUUUCAAAUCACAGUUUUUUCUAAAAAUUUCGUAAAAUCCUGUAUAGUUUUGGAAUUUUUUUAUUGUAAUACAAUGGUGACCUGUUCCGUCCUGGAUUGUGAUAUAAACCAGAGAAAUAAUCCCGCAAAAUAUUCAUUUCACAGGUAAAUUUAUUGAAAUCGACACCUCCAAACUUUAGCUUUAUUUUUGUGAAUGCGCUUAGAAUUUUAAGCACUAAGUGUGAUAAUUAUGUUCUUUAAACAUUAAUUUAAGUUGUAAGCAAAGAUUUGAUGCACAUAAUCCAGAAUUUAUGAAUAUUUUGUGUAAAGAAAUAAUUUUCGUUUUACACUAGGGCUGUACCACAAUCGAUAAAUAUAUUUUGUGCACUGUCUAUCACAGUCACCUGGGAAUGUAAUAAUAUGAGUUUCUGACUAUUAUAAUAGGUACUAAUUAGUAAAGUAUCUUUCAGAUUUCCGACUAACGAAGAUGUAAGAAAAACAUGGCUCAAAUUAAUUAAUCGUCCAAAUUGGAUUCCAACUAAAUAUGCCACUUUAUGUAGCAAACAUUUUGAUAGUAAAUGUUUUCGAAAAAUUGGAGCCAGAAUCACGUUGAAAAAAUGUGCAAUCCCUACAGAGUUUGUUCCGAUGAAAGUAAAGCCUACACGCACAAUGUCGUCGUACGUGAACAGAGAUAUUUUACCAGAGGGAUCUACAUUAUCGUCUAGAUCUCCGCCGCCGACACCACAGCUUCAGCCCACACCAGAGGGAUCUACAUUAUCGUCUAGAUCUCCGCCGCCGACACCACAGCUUCAGCCCACACCAUCGACCUCUUUCCAAAAACUUAAAUCUAAAUGCGCAAAAUUGCAAGAAAAAAUAAAAAAGAAAACGCAACUCAUUAGACACUUAAGAUCACAAAAUAAACGAACUAAAAUUAAAGUUGUAACCUUAGCAUCUUUGCUUGAUGAAUUUAAAAAAUGUCCUCGGCUUUGUGAUAAUUUAAAUGACAUUGCCGCAACAUGCAGUAACAAAACUAUUCAGGCCUUAAACGACCGAACGAAUGCUGUAGCUCGAGGUGAUAUAUCUCAGUCAACUACAUAUUGUGACGAAUUGAAAAGAUUUGCAUUAACGGUUCAUUUCUAUAGCCCGAGAUCAUACAGUUACAUUCGCGAAAAAUUUUCUUUUUGCUUGCCACAUGUAAAUACUCUGAGAAACUGGUAUAAACGCGUAGAUUGUGCUCCUGGAUUUACGGAAGAAUCUUUUAAUACAAUUAAAGAAGUAGCCAAAACAAAAGAUCUUCUUGUAAGUUUAACUUUCAAUGAAAUGAGCAUCAAAGAAUAUACUGAGUUUGUAGGUAAGAAUCACUAUGGCCAUGUUAAUUUCGGGAACGAUUCACAUGGGGAUGAAAUUCCAGUGGCAAAUCAAAUUCUUGUAUUUAUUGUCGUAGCAAUCAACCACUUUUGGAAACUACCCGUAGGUUUCUUUCCAGGGCGGGCUUUUACAGCUACUCAAAAAGAAAACUUGCUGAAAAUAUGUCUUACUCUUUUAAUUGAAACUGGAUGUACCGUUGCUUCAAUAACUUUUGAUGGCAUAUCCUCUAAUUUAAACAUGUGCAAAUUAUUGGGAUGUAAAUUUACAACUGAAUCCAUCAUUCCUUAUUUUUAUCUAAAAAACAAAAAAUAUUACGUUUUAUUUGAUCCGUGUCACCUUUUAAAACUUAUAAGAGGUAUAUUUCAUGAUAAGAAGACAUUUAUAGAUUGUAACGGAAAGAGAGUAGAAUUUAAAUUUGUAACAGAACUAUACGACCUUCAAGUAAAAGAAGGCUUGAGACUUGCCAAUAAGUUAACUUUCAGACAUAUAAAUUUCAUGAAACAAAAAAUGAAAGUUAAAUUAGCCGUACAAUUGUUAUCGGAGUCUGUUGCCACAGCCAUAGAAUAUUGCCAAAACUUUUUGAAUUUACGCCAAUUUCAGAACUCAGAAGCCACUGUUAGAUUCAUACGCAUGGUUAACGAAUUAUUUGAUAUUUUUAAUUCACGGAAUUUCCUUUCAUACGGUUAUAAAAAACCGUUAUUUGAAAGGAACAAGGAAAUUAUAUUUCAAAAACUUGAUGAAGUUUACGACUAUUUCUGUAACUUAAAAUACGAAGAUGGUACUUUAAUAAUAAAUUCAGCAAGACAUCUCGGAUUUUCUGGAUUCUUAGUUAAUAUUAAAGCUUUGAAAGGGCUGUAUGUAGAUUAUAUCGAGAAAGGUCCUUUGAAAUUUUUGCCUUUAUACAAACUUUCACAGGACCACGUAGAAACUUAUUUUAGUGCAAUUAGAUCUAUGGGUGGUUUUAACAACAAUCCUACAGUAAGAAAUUUUGUAUCAGCUUAUAAGAGAUUGCUUUGUCACACUGAGGUCAAGCUUAGUGAAUGUGGAAAUUGCUUAGAGCUGGAAAAAGUAACUUUACUUAAUGGUGCAACUUCUACGACAGACAGAAUUAAUUGCUCUAUAAUAUUUAACAAAAUGAAACAAGAAUUUGAAAUACAAGAUCCUUUAGAAAAAGACCAGGAAUAUAUAUCAGAAAUAUCAGAAUUAGAUAGAUUACCAGACUCUUCACAAGAUUUUACACAAUUUGUUAAGUCAGUCGUACAAUACAUUGCAGGAUUUGUCAUUAAAAAAAUUCGAAGGAACAUACACUGUGAAGUUUGCUUGGAAUCCCUCACACAGGCUCGGGCCGACUCAUUAAUAAGUAGGAAAGACUUUGAUAAAACUGGUGUUGGUUUUUUAAUAUAUCCUUCUGAAGAUGUGAUAAAUGUUUGCUUAAAGUGUGAAAAAUAUUUUCGAGAAAAAUUAAAAACAAAUUUUAAUUUUGAUGAAAACAAAUUUGAUAAGACGGUUCUAGAUAUCAUUCGUCAUAUUGAUUUGCAAAAUCAUUUUGAUUCUUUGGUUGUCCAUUCAUUCGAUCAAGAUCCACUUAACAGUCACAGAUAUCUUAUUAUCAAAUGUAUCAUUGAAACAUAUUUGCCUGUAAGAUUGAGGUACGAAACAAAAUUAAAAAAUGUAUCAAAGUUGACUUUGAGAAAUUACUUAAACAAAAUAAUACUUUUCCGAGGGCAAUGAGAAGUGCCCUUGGAAAAGUAUUAUUUUGUUAUUACCUGUUAGUUAACAUACUAAACAUAAUAAUAAAAUGUUCAUGCACACAAAUGUUUGUACUGUGCGGGAAUCGAACCCGCUACCUCCGGAAUAGUAGUCCGUUUCGAACCACUACGCCAAACGGCCGACAACGAUAAUUUAAUAAAUUUAACAUUUAAAUGAAUAGACAAAGAAUCAAUAAUGAUAAAUGAAUAGCUGUCCUAUCAAAUGGCAAUGCCAGAUUUUGUAUGGAAGGUGGCGUCUUUUUUUUUUCGCGCGGCCAUCGACCAAACUUUGUUUUUUGAUUACAAAAUAGUGGAAUAAACCAAACUUACUAUGGCAUGUAUACCUCUAAACUCAGUCUGAACUGAGUUACGAGCAUUAGAAGUUUAAUGAUUUUCAUACUAGAUUUGCUUUUUGCCCGCAAGUUUUGUAAGAAAUUGUAACAAAAUAUUGCGCUAUUUUUUUAUUGCGCUGCUGCACACUGAUGUCUGGAUCCUUUAAUGGAUGGUAUUGUUUGUUUACACAUACAAUGUCAUUAUUUUGUUGCAAUUUCUUACAAAACUUGCGCGCAAAUAGCAAAUCUAGUAUGAAAAUCAUCAAACUUCUGAUGCUCGUAACUCAUUUCAGACUGAGUUUAGAGGUAUACAUGUCAUAGUAAGUUUGGUUUAUUACACUAUUUUGUAAUCAAAAACCAAGGUUUGGUCGAUGGCCGCGCGAAAAAAAAAAGACGCCAAUUUCCGGCAUUGUCUUUUAUUAUUACAUCGCAUUCGUUAGAAUCCUAUUUUUUACAUUAUCGUCAGAAUUAUCAUUUUUAAUUAUUGACUUACUCUUACUAAUUAGAAAUCAGAAAGUUUGUAUGGAUGUCUUGAUGUUUGUUGCUCUUUCAAUUAAAUCAGUUAAAUCAUUUUAA